UACGGGGGGGGUAAGCGUUGUUCGGAAUUACUGGGCGUAAAGGGCUCGUAGGCGGCCAACUAAGUCAGACGUGAAAUCCCUCAGCUUAACUGGGGAACUGCGUCGGAUACUGGAUGACUUGAAUUCGGGAGAGGGAUGCGGAAUUCCAGGUGUAGCGGUGAAAUGCGUAGAUAUCUGGAGGAACACCGGUGGCGAAGGCGGCAUCCUGGACCGAGAUUGACGCUGAACAGCGAAAGCUAGGGGAGCAAACGGG
rnacentral:rRNA from 1 species